rnacentral:lncRNA from 1 species
CAUAUAAGAACUCUGUGAUGUUUUGAUUUAUAAGAUAUAAAGCUUCUGGGUGAAGGAGCUAAAGCAGGUUUGUUUUCUGGUAAUAAAGAUGGUGUUUCUGCUGGAAUUGGGAAAAGAGGUGAUGGGGAUGAGACUGGUGACGUGGAAGGUGAUGGGGAUGAAACUGGUGACGUGGAAGGUGAUGGGGCUGAAACUGGUGACAUGGAAGGUGAUGUGGCAGAUGGAGGCAAUGAUAUAGAUGAAACUGGAACAACUGAUGAUGAUGGUGAAGCCUGUAAUAGCUUUCUUUCUGUAACAUAUCCGGAUUCAAUUGCAUUCCUGUAAGAAAUAUAGAGAUUUUGAUUUCAAGAUUUGAU